rnacentral:rRNA from 1 species
GACGAACGCUGGCGGCGUGCCUAAUACAUGCAAGUCGAACGCUGAAGGAGGAGCUUGCUCUUCUGGAUGAGUUGCGAACGGGUGAGUAACGCGUAGGUAACCUGCCUGGUAGCGGGGGAUAACUAUUGGAAACGAUAGCUAAUACCGCAUAACAGCAGAUGUUGCAUGACAUUUACUUAAAAGGUGCAAUUGCAUCACUACCAGAUGGACCUGCGUUGUAUUAGCUAGUUGGUGGGGUAACGGCUCACCAAGGCGACGAUACAUAGCCGACCUGAGAGGGUGAUCGGCCACACUGGGACUGAGACACGGCCCAGACUCCUACGGGAGGCAGCAGUAGGGAAUCUUCGGCAAUGGACGGAAGUCUGACCGAGCAACGCCGCGUGAGUGAAGAAGGUUUUCGGAUCGUAAAGCUCUGUUGUAAGAGAAGAACGAGUGUGAGAGUGGAAAGUUCACACUGUGACGGUAUCUUACCAGAAAGGGACGGCUAACUACGUG